AUGACAUCAUGUGCAGCAAGCAUCCGGGGAAGGGGAAACAAUGGUACAUGGCCAUGCAGCUGGCACGGAAUCGAGUGCAGCAAGCAUCCGGUGAAGGUGAUCACCGAGAUCUCUCUGCCGGGGCUGCGGCUGAGGGGGGACCUCGGCACCCUCAACUUCACGGCGCUGCGUACUCUUACGAGUAUCCACCUCUUCAACAAUCAGAUAAGGGGCUCCCUCCCACCCGCUUUAGCAUCACCCUUGCCUAACCUGCGGCACCUAAUGCUCCAGGAGAAUGAACUUUCCGGUGAAAUACCAUGGCAAAUAAAACACCUAGAGAGUCUAGUGGGGCUUGACUUGUCAGCCAAUCACUUAUCUGGUCCCAUCCCCACUGAACUAGGCUACCUACAGAAACUAAUUAGUGUAGAUUUAACGAGCAACAACCUCACAGGCCAUAUUCCAAGAAGUUUAGGGAAGCUCACUAAACUCACUCUCUUGUACCUUGGUGAUAACAAACUCUCUGGAUAUAUUCCUCAAGAACUAGGUCAUCUCUUGAAUUUGCAAGAGUUGUCUCUUAGGCAAAACAACCUCACCAGUUCCAUCCCUGAUACUUUUGGGGGUUUGAUUAACCUCACCGCCUUGUACCUAUGGGGUAACCAACUUUCCGGGCAUAUUCCUCCAGAAUUAGGGCACCUCGUAAGUCUGAAAAUAUUAGAUCUUAACUUCAACAAACUCAAGGGUUCCAUCCCCGAUACCUUCGGGUGUCUCAUUAACCUCACUGUUCUGUAUCUAUGGGAUAAUCAACUUUCCGGUCAAGUCCCUCGAGAACUAGGUUACCUACUGAAUCUUGAAGAUUUGGAUCUUAACAAGAACCAACUCAUGGGAUCCAUCCCCCCUACAUUUGGGAAUUUGACUAAGCUCACGACAUUGUACCUUUACCGUAAUCAAUUCUCAGGGUAUCUUCCUCGAGAACUAGGUUACUUGGUGAAUCUACAAAUGUUGGAUCUUAGCACGAACAAACUCAUGGGUUCCAUUCACGAUUCCUUUGGUGGUUUGAUUAGCCUCAUUGGCAUGUAUCUAUGGGAUAACCAACUUUCCUGGAAAGUUCCUCCAGAACUAGGUUACCUGGUGAAUCUGGAAGAUUUGGAACUUAACAAGAACCAACUUUCUGGGUGUAUUCCUCGAGAACUAGGUAAACUUGCCAAUUUAAAAGCAUUGAAUCUUGGCAAAAACAACCUCGUAGGUUCCAUCCCCAACUUCUUUGGAAAUUCGAGUAAGCUCACUACCAUGUUCCUUGCUGAUAAUCAGUUCUCUGGAUACCUUCCACAAGAAAUAGGUUUCCUGGUGAAUUUACAACGGUUGGAUGUUAGCACAGACAAAUUGAUAGGUUCUAUCCCCGAUAUCUUUGGAAAUUUGACAAAGCUCACCACCCUGCAACUCAGUUACAAUCAAUUAUUUGGACAAGCUCCUCGAGAAAUUGGCACCUUAAUGGAUCUUGAGCUACUGCAGUUGGAUGGUAACAAUAUAUCUGGUCACUUGCCACCUGAGUUGUGCGCUGGAGGCUGGCUGAAGAAUUUAACUGCAUCUGAUAACAACCUGAAUGGACAACUACCAUCAAGUUUGAUACACUGCAGAAGCCUAGUCAGAGUUUGUCUGGAAAGGAAUCAAAUAGAGGGAUAUAUCUCUGCUUUAGGAGUUCACCCAAAUCUUGUGUAUAUGGAUAUGAUCUCAAAUAAACUGUUUGGCCAAUUAUCGUAUACCUGGGGGCAAUGUCGUAAUCUUUUGAUGCUACGCAUCUCAAACAACAACCUUACAGGGAGGAUACCCGCAAGUAUGGGGAGACUAUCUCAGAUAGGGCUUCUUGACCUUUCAUCAGACAAGCUUGAAGGAAAUAUUCAUUGUUGGUAA
rnacentral:rRNA from 1 species